GAUGAACGCUGGCGGCGUGCCUAAUACAUGCAAGUCGAGCGAACAGAUGAGGAGCUUGCUCCUUUGACGUUAGCGGCGGACGGGUGAGUAACACGUGGAUAACCUACCUAUAAGACUGGGAUAACUUCGGGAAACCGGAGCUAAUACCGGAUAAUAUAUUGAACCGCAUGGCUCAAUAGUGAAAGACGGUUUUGCUGUCACUUAUAGAUGGAUCCGCGCCGCAUUAGCUAGUUGGUAAGGUAACGGCUUACCAAGGCAACGAUGCGUAGCCGACCUGAGAGGGUGAUCGGCCACACUGGAACUGAGACACGGUCCAGACUCCUACGGGAGGCAGCAGUAGGGAAUCUUCCGCAAUGGGCGAAAGCCUGACGGAGCAACGCCGCGUGAGUGAUGAAGGUCUUCGGAUCGUAAAACUCUGUUAUUAGGGAAGAACAAAUGUGUAAGUAACUAUGCACGUCUUGACGGUACCUAAUCAGAAAGCCACGGCUAACUACGUG
rnacentral:rRNA from 1 species